rnacentral:rRNA from 1 species
GGUGAAAAGAACCCCGAGAGGGGAGUGAAAUAGAACCUGAAACCCUGCACUUACAAGCUGUGGAAGCACAUUUCUUGUGUGACCGCGUCCUUUUUGUAGAACGGGCCAACGAGUUACGUUAAGUAGCAAGGUUAAGCACUUAAGGUGUGGAGCCGUAGCGAAAGCGAGUUUUAACUGAGCGUUCAGUUACUUGACGUAUACCCGAAACCGGGCGACCUACCCAUGCGCAGGAUGAAGCGAAAUUAAAAUUUCGUGGAGGUCCGAACCCACGAGCGUUGAAAAGCUCGGGGAUGACUGCUGCUUAGCGGUGAAAUCCCACUCGAGCCCGGAGAGAGCUGGUUCGCCCCGAAAUAGCUUUAGGGCUAGCCCACAAGAGUGAGAUACGGAAUUAGGCCACAGACGGGUCUAGGGACUAUUGCACAUAACGAAGCCUAU